UUGUCAUAUUUAUAUAUUUAUUUAUAUUUAAGUUGAAUUUAAAUCAUAAAUGUGUAGGUCUACUACAUCAUCAUCAACAGUAACAAUAAUAUUAAUAAGCUCAGUAGGAUGCCUUUAGAAAAAGAUUUUGAGGUAUUUUAUUUUCCUUAUUGAAUGUUGCAAGAAUUGAAUUGCAAAAAAUAUUUAUAUAUUUUUACAAUAUUUGGGAGAACUUCAAAGAACAUAUCACAGAACCAUAUUCUCAACUACUUAUCCUUCUGUAGAUAGAAAUCCAACAUUUCUAUUGCUUGAACUGAAAUUAAUUAACUAGCAAAUUGCAUAUUGUAUAUAUAAAUUGUACUACCUUUCUGGAAAAUCCAUCAACUCCACCUAAUAUUAUCAGGUUGUACCUAUGAAGAAAAGGUAAUACAAUGCAAGGGGACCUCGAACUGAGUAUGAUGUUUGCACAAUGCAGCCAAGUUGUGCAAGUUGGGACAGGACUCCAGUGGCAUCCACACGAUGCAUUGAUGGCUUAAUCCUCUCCCACUGCACAUAGCUACCCAUUGCCAUGAGCUGUCCUUUAACAUUUCUGUACCCUGCAUUGGCAUCUGGGUUUUUAUAGCUCUCACCAUGUUAUCAGUCAUGGUGCUGUGAGCUAUGCAGGAUACAGAAUUGUGCUUCUAAUAAGUAAUGCAACUGAUCUCUCUGUGUAAUGAGCCUGGGUCCUCCUCUUAAACCCUCAGCUGUCUCUAAAUGUGACUAGGAUUGGGCAUCGAGAACCGGUUCCAACUUGGAACUGUUUUAAAAAUGGCGAUUCCAAUGGAAUCGUUCGGAAAUUUGGGUUUCGAAUCCAAUCAUCGGUUCCAAAACGUGAGUUUGGAGCACAGGAAGCGGCGCUCAAAAGUGUGGCUUUAUUCAUCGGGUCGGCACAGUGCAACAACUGCGAGACACUUAUUUCGUGUACAAAUCAACAAGGAGUGUACCGUGUUUGACGUGCUGUGCCGGUCUCCCUUUCCUACCUCAGACAACACGGAACUAACUGGUACCUCAUCGACAUCAGGUAAGUGAAAUUGUAGUGAAACAAGCUGCUUGAUCAAAUUGCUGAAAUUGUGGAGAACAACGUUACUGAAAUGUAUUUUUUUCUCGUAGAUAAAUGUAUGCAGAUUACUAACAUUAGCAGACCUACUGCUGUUAAUAUUAGACCGGAGGCUCCGCGUCAAACUCCAUUCAACUUAGCAGCAAAGCAGCUCUGUUGCCCUCGCUUGUGACUCUUGGACUAGCAUUGCUCAAGACCACUAUCUAACUGUCACAACACACUAUUUAGUGGAGGGCAAAAUGAAGUAAAAAGUGCUCCAAACAAAAGCUCUCUUGAUAAUGCAGGAGGAAAUACAGAGAUAGCUAUAAAACGGCUACAGUAUGUGAAGCUGGGCUGCUUUGCACACACACUCAAUCUAGCAGCACAAAGUCUCUACCUGACUGCAGUGACACAGUGGACUGCAAAGAUCCGUGCCUUUGUUGUGUGGACGAAGAGGUCCUCGAUGGCAAAGAUUGUUCUACGAGAGAAGCAAGAUCUCCUCAACUUGCCUGGCUGAGUGAUGAAGACUUCAGGAAUGCAGAGGACUUUAUCAACUUGAUAAUAGUUCUUUACACUUCCACACUUUGCGUAUCAACUGAAAAGAGCACCACAUGUGGUCAGAUUCUGCCAAUUCUCCAAAAGCUUGAGAGGCAUUUUGCUGUUGUUGAGGGAGACACAGGAUUUGUAUCUAACCUCAAAAAGCAAGUCUGGACAAAGCUUUCCAAGCGAUACCAGCGAGCACAUCAGGAUCUUUCUUGAAGUGGCAACAGCAUUGGACCCACGCUCUAAACAAAAGAUGGAGAACAGUGCCAGUGUCUGGGACCGGAUCAAGAGAGAAAUGAUGACAGAAUCUGAGCAGUUUGUAUACCAACCACCUCCCAGCAAACAACCAAGAAAGUCUCCAUUGGAAGAGCUUUUUGCCGACGAGGAUGCACAAAAGAUGUCAUUAUAGCAGAGGAGGACCAUGUCCAUCCAGGACCAGGCAGAGAAGGAGAUGCAGAUGUAUAAGGAGACACCCCCAACCUUUACGGCCAAUGACCCUACUGCCUGGUGGUGAAACCAGCGCAAGACUUAUCCUUUAUUGUCAGCAUCUCAAAAACUGUAAAUCACCUUUGAAUCAAAAUAAAAAAUUUCUCUGUGAAAUAA